rnacentral:rRNA from 1 species
GAUGAACGCUAGCGACAGGCUUAACACAUGCAAGUCGAGGGGCAGCGGGGGUGAUGGCUUGCCAUCACCUGCCGGCGACCGGCGCACGGGUGAGUAACACGUAUCCAACCUGCCGAUGACUCGGGGAUAGCCUUUCGAAAGAAAGAUUAAUACCCGAUGGCAUAGUUCUUCCGCAUGGUAGAACUAUUAAAGAAUUUCGGUCAUCGAUGGGGAUGCGUUCCAUUAGCUUGUUGGCGGGGUAACGGCCCACCAAGGCAUCGAUGGAUAGGGGUUCUGAGAGGAAGGUCCCCCACAUUGGAACUGAGACACGGUCCAA